CUUGUGCUUUCUCUCGCACGCUCUCUCAAAUAAAUAAGAUCUUUAGAAUGAGAGAGUGCACCAUAAAUGCUAGCCUUUUAAGGAGCAUGUGGAUUUUCAACAAGGAGAACACCUAGGCCUAGCUCUCUACGAGGCAGUGAUCGUUCAGACGCUUCAGGCAUCCAGCACCGUCUUGACGACAUUGAGGCGGCUGCAGAGUCCUCCUGGCUGCGGCCGAAUGGAAGGCCAGAGGUUGGGAAGAAUAAACGAGGGACAGGCGAGCAGGAUGAGGCAUCUGGGGACAGCCGCCAGAGUGACAGCCCUGCAUCCAGCCGUGAGGUGUCUGCAGCCUGUGCCAGCGCCGGGAGGACGCGUGCCCGCAGGACGCCCUCCCCCACGGCCAGGCCCGGACACGCCUGUCAGGAGAAAACCGAUCCCUGACAGGAAGUAGAUCAAGAGUGGGAAACAGCUGAAUUCCCAGAGAGACCAAGUGGUUCCUGUGGGUUGCUUUACUCAAACCCGUUGUCCCUGAACUUUCCAGCUGCUGCCUUAUCUUGCCUUGCUAUCGGAGAAACUGGAGAAGAGAAAGACCCACGGGUCAUCCGGCCCGUUCCUCCCUGGACUCUGUGGCUCAUUCUUCCCACAGUCCGUCCGCUAGGAUUCUGCCCCGUCUCGUUUCCAGGUGGCAGCGUCCCCUCUUGUGCCUUGGGAAGUCACUCACUCCACAGCCCUGUGGCCGAACCCCAGGGGAUCCCACCCUGGCCAAGCAAAUGACCUCCUGUUUACCUUUUCUGUCCUCACCCCCUCCUCUGCGGCUCAGUAUCUGGAGAACUCGGGAGCGCUUAGGGCAGUGAGGGACAGAAGCGCUCGGAGCAUCCGCACUGGCCUCUUCAGAAGCAGUCCGGAGGCCUUCAGCCAGAGUUCACAGGGGUAGCUGGCUCCUGUGGCCAGAGCUGCUGCCAGGCCCCGAACUUCGCCACGCUGGGCAGCCCCCUAGUGUGGUGGCCCCGGCCAUGGUUGGGGACCCCAGCGAGACUCCCCUCAAAUUUACCGUUGCCGUGACUGAGAGAGCGGCUCCAAGUGGGCCUCUUCCUGGCUGGGGGGCCACAGGGUUUCCUCCUUUUGGGGCACUGUCUUUCUGGUGUCUCAAGCAUGUUUCGUUUUGGCCUUUGUAAGGCUAAACUUCCUAGGGCCUAUGACUUUACCCCCGGCCUCCUUCGCAAUGAGAGCUCCUCCCAAGUCCACGAGCCCACCUCAUCCUUGGGAUGAUCAACAAAUCAAUCUAGUCUCUUUGGUGAGUUUGGAGUUUCUUGGACCGCAGUGUGCUCCUGGCUUGGCAGCCUCUCCUUAGCCUGGCAGCCUUCAGCAAAGUUUGCUGUAGGACCUGACGUGCUUUAUUCGGUGCUCAGAAUGGAUCCUUGGGCCUGGAGUGAGCAGGCCAGGGCUGGUUAUAACUAAAGAAUGUGUGAGUGCCUGGCUGCAGUUGUUUCCAUGUUGGGAGAGCCCCAGCAGGGUAGUCAGUGCUCCCUCUCGGGCCCCGUGUAGAAACCUGAAUAUCCAUGCCUUAGAAAGGAGAGCCCGGCUCUGAAUAGAUGGUGCUGGGGAAAUCUGUGUUCAGGUACAGCACCUGCUUCGGGAAAGGUAAGAAAAUCUUCACUGCUUCUGACAGAUUGGAUCAGACAUCCAGGGCACCUAGCUGGUCUGCUGGUCUUCCAGCUCUGACUAGUUUUGUUAAGAGCUAGCAACUUGGAUGCCGUAUUGGCAUGCCUCAGCCUCCCAGAUCCACCGAAAGUCACCCCCUGGAAGGGGUCUUCCACACCAGCAUUUCUCAGCAAGCUCAGGUGAACAUAAUAAAAAGAUUCUGUGGGCAGAUAAACUUGGGAAACCCAGGGUUUAAAUCAAGUCAAACGGGAUUUUUCAUGGUGGAACUUCUCGAUUCCGCUGAAGGGGCAGAGACCGCAUUUCUCUCCAACUUCCUUGACCACAGAGCAUCUCUAGACAGCCUGCUUCCAGCCACACUUCUGAAACCUCACACAGGAACAGUGUCUCUCGAACUUGGAUGUGUGCAUCAUCAUCUCCCAAAGGGCUUGUGACAUGCAGGGACUUGGGUUUCUCUCCCCGGGCUUUCUGCAUUUCUGACAAGUUCCCUGGUGAUGCCAGUGGGCCAGGGACCACACUCUGAGAACUGCUGGUCUAGACUGAUCCCUUUUUUUCAUGGAGAAGAAAACAGCACCUGGUAGGCACUUUUCGUGCUAUUUCUGAAGGCUGGCGUGGUGAGGACAGGCGGCCCCUGGAAGGGGGUGGGGGUACAGCGCGGGUCCGUGGUCUCUCGCCGCUUGCUCCGCACUGUCUGCCGGAGGGCUGAGGGCUCCGCUCUCGAGACCAGUCAGGGUCUUCCUGUUCGGCAACAUGCUCGGAACUGUGAAUUCUGUAUGUACUUCCCUCCGCUGGGCCUUAGUUUCCUCAUCUGUAAGUGGAAGAGGAUAGAAACGACUUUUAUGGAUACUUACUACUUUCUCUAGCACUCCAGUUUAUUUUUGCUCUGGGGUAUUUCUGUUUCUGGGUGUUCUCCUCCCCUGUCCGAGCUCUCAUACACGCCGCGGGAGCCAGUGCCAUCCGUGCUGAGGUGGGGGGGACCUCAGUGUUACUUUGCAGGGCCACUGUGUUUUCGAAGAGCAUUCCCGAAGAAGUGUGGUGGUGGAAUCCCGUACAGCUGUCCCCCGGAUAGUGAACCGGACGGUAACGACUCGGCAGUACUGAGUUGGAGCCGAGAAGCGUCCCGGCGUCUUCCGGGUGCUUCUGGGCCCACAGGCCGCAGUGCGUGCGUGCGUCCGUGCGUGCGUGCGUGCGUGCGUGCGAUGGUGUGCUUAGCGGUCUGGCGGAGCGAGCAGCGGUGUUGCCGUGGAUCACGUAUGUCGGUAGAGGUUCUUCUAGGGAUGUGAGAAGCUCUUGGGAUCGUAGGCAGGGUUGUGAGUGUGCAGUUGGGAGGGUGUGUGCGCGCGAGCUCACGUGCAGUUUUCUACAGACAGGAUCCUGUCUUACAUGGAAGGCCAAUGGCACAGAUGUAGCGCUGCUGUAUUGUCCGUGGGCAGGGCGCCAGGGAAGCACAGGUCUCUCCAGUGUUGACGACGCUCUACAGCAGCCGCUGGGCAGUGGCCCGGAGUGGCCACGAGUGACCCGGAGCCAGAAGCCACAGCAGAACAAGCAGCCCAGGUUCCCAGCUCCCCAGCUGCCAUGGGGCUGUGCCCCCGUCCCCUCCUUUACCACCUGUCUCAGGAAGGGAGCUCGAACUCUGCCCUUUGCUUAGUGAGCAAGUGGAUUCAGAUGCACAAAGCCAUAAGCCAUGGCUGGCCCAAGGAGUUCCCUGACCUGGAUUCCUGGCAUGGGGAGAAGCUCAAAACGCAUCUGUGGUCCUUUUAAGUCUUCAUUUCCCAAGUAGGUGAGGCCCCAAGUUGGGAUCGAGUCCCCCAGUGUGGCCCAUCACCCUGCAUUGAGAGCCAGAGAGGAAGGGGAGGCCCAUGGGGUAGAAGGAAAUGCUGAGGACUUCUGCAUGUAGACCGAGACCAAAGGCUGGGCAUCCUGUGUGAGCUCUGUCUGGGGGCCCACUCCUAGACCAGUCAACGAGGGCUAGUGGAGCCUGUGCCCUGGAUCCUGACCCCGCUGGGUUCUGUGCCCGUGGGAUGUCACUCAGAAUACCCAGCUGUCAAUGGAUUUCCCCACAUGUAAAAGCAGGUUAGAAGAGGCAGGAGGUCUUCAUCAAUCCCCCAGCACCCCCGGGUUCUGCGGAGUUUCCUUGCAGGUUCCAGGCCCCCUGCACUUCCACCUCUGCCAGGAUGCUGCUUCAUCUGUUUAUGUUUUGGAGAUCUGAGUAAGAUGCCAUGUGAAAAGGGGGUUCUCAAGCAAAAUCUCUUCUAUUAAACCAUCGAAGUCCAUUUGCCCGGGUAAAGUUCCCUCCAGCAUUGCAUUCUACUCUAGAAACGUGUUGGGCCAGACCCAGGUCGAAGAUCCAUCUUUCUCCUCCUGCCACACUGGGGAGGAUGCCGCUCUCCACAGAGCCAUCCAGCCCUCCUGCGCAUCUCCCUCCCUUUGAUGUAAUUGCUCUCCCUCCCCCACUCCCAGCUGCCUGUGUUGCGGGGAGGCCAUGCCUCCUCCGGGGAAACGGGAGCAGCGGUAAAUGGGCAUUUCUUGUUUCUGGCCAAAGGCUGCGGGGCAAAACUGACGUUGCUGACAGAUGGACAUUUGUUAAAGCCAAAGUGUUCUUGCCCUUUUGUUUGUUUCUUCACACUUUCCUCAGCACAGGAGCGGGAACAUUCUGCCAAGUGGACAAAGUAUCACUCAGUCCAAUUGUUUUGUUGCUGGCCUUCCACUUUGGAAACUUCAUGGAAAAGAUGGGUCUUCCUCAGCAGAGUGAGCGGAGGGCUUGGGGUACCAGAUACCCCAUAGGGCUGAGAAGCCAGAACCCCGUUUCUAAAAGAACAGCAGCAGAAGCUCAAAGAUGUCCAGGCCGGCUUACUGGCAUGGAUGGGUCAUGAACGCGUCCCUCCCUUACCGGAGCAGAUACGUGUUUCCACACCCUGCUGAGCAAACCAGGAGACGGCCUGUGCCCUCGGCACAGCUCUGCUGAGCGGGUGCAACCAAAGGGACUCGCUGGGCCAGCCUCAGGCCAGGUCUGGCCAGGCGGCGGCUGGCUGUUCACCGUGGCAAGGAGGGUGGGAGCGGGGGAGCUGCUGGGCCCGGCCCGCUCCCUGGGGCGGGCGCUCUGCUGACAGCCUGGCCCGUGUUCACUAAGGGCACGUGGACGACCCCUCGGGCUGCUGUUCUGGUCCCCUGCGCCGCCGGCACGUAUGCGCUGGCUCCCUCCCUCCGAGGCUACUUCUCAGGGCUGGAAGUCCCGUCAGUUCUGCUGAAUGCUAUGUUCCAGGUGUGUGAUGGUGGCUGCAAUCUGUCUUGUGGGUAUUAAUGCAAUCUUCACUGGUGGUUGCUGUGCUCAAGCCGUUCUACCAGACUGGAGCAUGCUGGUGAGUCCCACAGUCAGAGGCCGGACAGGCCCUCUGGGGAGGCAGCGUGUCCCGGGCAGGGCGCGGUGAUGGAGACCAGUGUGGUCGGGACCGUCACCCCAGCAGUCUAGGUGUUACCACCUCCCCCAGGUGAUCCUGGUGGGUGCUCUAGGUUGAGACGCGAUGGUAUAGAGCACUGGGGUCAGGGGUUUGCUCUUCAUGAUCUCGUCCAGCCACAGCGUGCUUAGGGAAGGGCGUCUGGGAGGGCAGUGGCGGGGGGGGGGUCUGCAGACCCUCCGCGCACACGGUGAGGCCACCUGCACAUGCUCAGGCCGCAGCCAUGGAACGAGCCAUUCCGCCAUCGGGAAUUUACAGAUAAAUGACACUUUCCCCUUUUAAACCCUUAUGCCUUUUCUGGAAAUGCACCAUUUUGGUGAGCAUCUUUUAGAGAUAGUAUGUAUAUUCCUCCUGACUUCAUCCACUUGUACUGAAUACGGUGUAGCCCUCUCUCGGUGACACCAAGACGUGUGCAUGAGCCUCUUUGGAAAGAAGAGUGGUUGUCCUUGGGCAUAGGCAAAUGAGGCAGGGCUCUCACUGGACUCCUCCAGACUCUGGGCUUCCUGCCGGCCGGUGAUUUUGGUGAUUGUUCAUCUCUUCGAGCGGCCCCUCAGCUUCUAGUAGUAAGCGUAGUCUAAAACAGUAAUGUAGCGUUCCCGCAGGUGACUGGCCGCUGGCUGCCACACAGAGGGGCUACCAGGCUCUCUGGAAAACUUGGCCUAGAACAACAGGAGUACCAAGGGCAGGCCCACAGCGGUUAUGUCUCGGCCCAAAUAAGGUGGCAAAUUUCAUCCCUACAAGGGGCCAAUGAAGAAAAGAUGAGUCAGAAAGAGGGCAAGAUUCCUGCUAAGGACAGAGAACCAGGCAGAUCUAGCCAAGGAGGUCAUUACCGCAUUCUUGGGACUUAGGUAAUUUCUUGCUCUCAGAGUAGAGCCCAUCCAGAGGCAGGCACAUCGUGUGUGCCCCAACGGCCUGCACUUGGGGUCUUUCCUCCCACUGACCAAACUUAACAGGGAAGCGUUUUCCACAUCGUGUAGGGCAGCUAAUGUUUAAUCCCACCAAUUCCUUAGCCUUCUAAUUUAUUGGGUGGUUCUUUUGUUGUCAUGGUUCUUAAUAACAGUGCCCACUCUAUUCUUACCAAUAUUAUCACCCGGUAAAACUUUUUUUUUUUUUUUUUGAGAUUUUCUUUUAUUUGAGAGAGCG